rnacentral:rRNA from 1 species
GAUGAACGCUGGCGGCGUGCCUAAUACAUGCAAGUCGAGCGAACAGACGAGGAGCUUGCUCCUCUGAUGUUAGCGGCGGACGGGUGAGUAACACGUGGAUAACCUACCUAUAAGACUGGGAUAACUUCGGGAAACCGGAGCUAAUACCGGAUAAUAUAUUGAACCGCAUGGUUCAAUAGUGAAAGACGGUUUUGCUGUCACUUAUAGAUGGAUCCGCGCCGCAUUAGCUAGUUGGUAAGGUAACGGCUUACCAAGGCAACGAUGCGUAGCCGACCUGAGAGGGUGAUCGGCCACACUGGAACUGAGACACGGUCCAGACUCCUACGGGAGGCAGCAGUAGGGAAUCUUCCGCAAUGGGCGAAAGCCUGACGGAGCAACGCCGCGUGAGUGAUGAAGGUCUUCGGAUCGUAAAACUCUGUUAUUAGGGAAGAACAAAUGUGUAAGUAAUUAUGCACGUCUUGACGGUACCUAAUCAGAAAGCCACGGCUAACUACGUG